AGGGGACGGAGCGCUCCGAGGUGAUGCUCAUGUAGCGGUGGACGAUGGAGAAGGGCAGAUCUCGACAGGCUGGCUUGUUGACGGGACACACACAGCGGCUGGACGCACACAAAGAGACAGACAGAGAUCGGUUGUUUCCUGCCAGCUGGAAUCCAGGUUCACACUGACAGGAGAAGGAACCAGGGACGUUGACACAGCGAUGCUGGCAGUACCUGUACCUGCACUCAUCGAUGUCUGACGGGCAGAAGGAGAGUCAGAGGAAGGAGAUUCAUGUUCCUACAGUCAGAGCCAAGAAGCAAACUACACAGCCACGUUAUCUUGGCUCUUCUAAGAAGCCAAGUGCAGCUGGGAGAGCGGAGCAGUGAGCAGUGAGCGGGGCAGCUGUGACGUGUAUGGCCUGUAGCAGAAAAGUGGGUAAGAAGUACAUCUCACCUCGCUAAAACGCUCGCAGACAUGACAAGCCAUCCGGCAGUUCUCUGCUUGACACAGAUCCCUUCUUACAUGUGUGUAAGGCGUUAAGGAAAGGCAGGGAAAAACUCACGGCUGG